GAUGAACGCUGGCGGCGUGCCUAAUACAUGCAAGUCGAGCGAACAGAUGAGGAGCUUGCUCCUCUGACGUUAGCGGCGGACGGGUGAGUAACACGUGGAUAACCUACCUAUAAGACUGGGAUAACUUCGGGAAACCGGAGCUAAUACCGGAUAAUAUAUUGAACCGCAUGGUUCAAUAGUGAAAGACGGUUUUGCUGUCACUUAUAGAUGGAUCCGCGCCGCAUUAGCUAGUUGGUAAGGUAACGGCUUACCAAGGCAACGAUGCGUAGCCGACCUGAGGGGGUGAUCGGCCACACGGGAACUGAGACACGGUCCAGACUCCUACGGGAGGCAGCAGUAGGGAAUCUUCCGCAAUGGGCGAAAGCCUGACGGAGCAACGCCGCGUGAGUGAUGAAGGUCUUCGGAUCGUAAAACUCUGUUAUUAGGGAAGAACAAAUGUGUAAGUAACUAUGCACGUCUUGACGGUACCUAAUCAGAAAGCCACGGCUAACUACGUG
rnacentral:rRNA from 1 species